rnacentral:rRNA from 1 species
UACGGAGGGUGCGAGCGUUGUCCGGAAUCACUGGGCGUAAAGGGCGCGUAGGCGGCCUGAUAAGUAGGGGGUGAAAUCCUGCGGCUUAACCGCAGGGCUGCGUUCUAAACUGUCAGGCUAGAGCACAGUAGAGGCAGGUGGAAUUCCCGGUGUAGCGGUGGAAUGCGUAGAGAUCGGGAAGAACAUCAGUGACGAAGGCGGCAUGCUGGGCUGUUGCUGACGCUGAGGCGCGACAGCGUGGGGAGCAAACAGG